GAUGAACGCUAGCGGCAGGCUUAAUACAUGCAAGUCGUGGGGCAGCAUGAAUGUAGCAAUACAUUUGAUGGCGACCGGCAAACGGGUGCGGAACACGUACACAACCUUCCUAUAAGUGGGGAAUAGCCCAGAGAAAUUUGGAUUAAUACCCCGUAACAUAACGAUGUGGCAUCACAUUGUUAUUAUAGCUUCGGCGCUUAUUGAUGGGUGUGCGGCUGAUUAGAUAGUUGGCGGGGUAACGGCCCACCAAGUCUACGAUCAGUAGCUGAUGUGAGAGCAUGAUCAGCCACACGGGCACUGAGACACGGGCCCGACUCCUACGGGAGGCAGCAGUAAGGAAUAUUGGUCAAUGGACGCAAGUCUGAACCAGCCAUGCCGCGUGAAGGAUUAAGGUCCUCUGGAUUGUAAACUUCUUUUAUCUGGGACGAAAAAAGGCUUUUCUAAGUCACUUGACGGUACCAGAUGAAUAAGCACCGGCUAACUCCGUGCCAGCCGCCGCUGUAACAC
rnacentral:rRNA from 1 species